UACGGGGGGAGCAAGCGUUGUUCGGAUUUACUGGGCGUAAAGGGCGCGUAGGCGGCCUCCGCAAGUCGACUGUGAAAUCUCCGGGCUUAACCCGGAACGGUCAGCCGAUACUGCGGGGCUAGAGUGCAGAAGGGGCAACUGGAAUUCUCGGUGUAGCGGUGAAAUGCGUAGAUAUCGAGAGGAACACCUGCGGCGAAGGCGGGUUGCUGGGCUGACACUGACGCUGAGGAGCGAAAGCGUGGGGAGCGAACAGG
rnacentral:rRNA from 1 species